UUAAAGCCAAAUUACCAAGAUUAACAUGGAUUGGAGUUGAUAAAACUUCGAGAAUUUCAGCAACGAUUCGUACUUCUUCUAAGGUUCUCCUACUAAAUUUUCAGCUUUCCAAAGUUCUCCUACAUACAGUUUUCAAAGCGCAUGAAUCGAUUCAAUUUAGGCAGGAGUAUGAAAUGCGUAAAAUGAAACUGGGAUCAAGGUUUGGAUGUGAUUGCAGGAGGAUUGGAUACUUUGAAAAACAUGGCACAUGAUAUGAACGAGGUUUUGAUUGAGGACAGCAUAAAAGUCCGUCUCGCUAUUAUUUUCGACGGCUUUUCUCUUCAGAGGAUUAUUGAACAAUCCCUCAGUUGCAGAUGAUAAGAACUGUGCUCCUAUUAUGUCUAAGUUGUUUUCUUCAUA